rnacentral:tRNA from 2 species
AUUUAUAUAGUAUAAUAGUAUAUAUGACUUCCAAUCAUAAGGUUUAUUUAUCAUAAUAAUAUAAAUA